CCUACGGGGGCUGCAGUGGGGAAUAUUGGACAAUGGGCGAAAGCCUGAUCCAGCCAUGCCGCGUGUGUGAAGAAGGCCUUCGGGUUGUAAAGCACUUUCAGUGGGGAAGAAAGCCUUGGGGCUAAUACCCUCGAGGAAGGACAUCACCCACAGAAGAAGCACCGGCUAACUCCGUGCCAGCAGCCGCGGUAAUACGGAGGGUGCGAGCGUUAAUCGGAAUUACUGGGCGUAAAGCGCGCGUAGGCGGUCUGAUAAGCCGGUUGUGAAAGCCCCGGGCUCAACCUGGGAACGGCAUCCGGAACUGUCAGGCUAGAGUGCAGGAGAGGAAGGUAGAAUUCCCGGUGUAGCGGUGAAAUGCGUAGAGAUCGGGAGGAAUACCAGUGGCGAAGGCGGCCUUCUGGACUGACACUGACGCUGAGGUGCGAAAGCGUGGGUAGCAAACAGGAUUAGAUACCCUUGUAGU
rnacentral:rRNA from 1 species